UACGUAGGGUCCGAGCGUUGUCCGGAAUUAUUGGGCGUAAAGGGCUCGUAGGCGGUCUGUUGCGUCGGGAGUGAAAACUUACAGCUUAACUGUGAGCGUGCUUCCGAUACGGGCAGACUUGAGGUAUUCAGGGGAGAACGGAAUUCCUGGUGUAGCGGUGAAAUGCGCAGAUAUCGGGAAGAACACCCGUGGCGAAGGCGGCACUCUGGGACGGUACUGGACGCUGAGACGCGAAAGCGUGGGGAGCGAACAGG
rnacentral:rRNA from 1 species